rnacentral:rRNA from 1 species
UAGCCGUAAACGAUACUCGCUAGGUGUCGGCCACGGUGCGACCGUUGUCGGUGCCGUAGGGAAGCCGUGAAGCGAGCCACCUGGGAAGUACGGCCGCAAGGCUGAAACUUAAAGGAAUUGGCGGGGGAGCACCACAACGGGUGGAGCUUGCGGUUUAAUUGGAUUCAACGCCGGAAAUCUUACCGGGACCGACAGCAACAUGAAGGCCAGGCUGAAGACUUUGCCGGAUUAGCUGAGAGGAGGUGCAUGGCG